rnacentral:rRNA from 1 species
UACGUAGGGUGCGAGCGUUAAUCGGAAUUACUGGGCGUAAAGCGUGCGCAGGCGGUUCUAUAAGACAGAUGUGAAAUCCCCGGGCUCAACCUGGGAACUGCAUUUGUGACUGUAGAGCUGGAGUGCGGCAGAGGGGGAUGGAAUUCCGCGUGUAGCAGUGAAAUGCGUAGAUAUGCGGAGGAACACCGAUGGCGAAGGCAGCCCCCUGGGCCAACACUGACGCUCAGGCACGAAAGCGUGGGGAGCAAACAGG